GAUCAUGCUGUGGAACGUCCGGUUUUGCAAGUGAAGUCAGCUGUGGAUGCAGAGGUUGCGGCAGCGAAGGGAAAGGGAAAAGGCAAGCCACCGCCACCUCCGCCUCCGAAGAAGAAGGAUGAAGGUGCGGCGUUAGAGGACACGCGU
rnacentral:ribozyme from 1 species